GGGCACGAACCCGUGUCUCCUGCAUCGGCAGGCGGACUCUCAACCACUGCGCCACCAGGGAAGACCCCAGAAUGAUUUUUCUUUAUGGAGCUCUGAAGUUUUGACACCCUUUCUCCACAUGGAAGUUGUUCCUCACCAAUCAAACUUGGAGAACCCACCCUUUGAGCUAAUAGAUUUCCGUAUUAAAUUCAUCUGGGCCAAGGACCCCAUCUUAUACUUCUGCAUCCAUCAUAGCACCAAGUACAAUGUAAAGCAUAGAUACGCGGGCCUCUCACUGUUGUGGCCUCUCCCGUUGCAGAGCACAGGCUCCAGACGCGCAGGCUCAGCGGCCAUGGCUCACGGGCCCAGCCGCUCCGCGGCAUGUGGGAUCCUCCCGGACCGGGGCACGAACCCUUGUCCCCUGCAUCGGCAGACGGACUCUCAACCACUGCGCCACCAGGGAAGCCCAGAAUAAUUUUUUUUAAUAAUUCUUUUAUUGAAGUAUAGUUGAUUUACAGUGUUGUGUUAAUUUUUGCUAUAGAGAAAAGUGAUCCAGUUGUACAUAUAUAUGCAUUCUUUUUUAAUAUUCUUUUCCAUUAUGGUUUAUCACAGGAUAUUGAACAUAGUUCUUUGUGCUAUACAGUAGGACCUUGUUGUUUAUCCAUUCUGUAUGUAAUAGCUUAUAUCUGCUAAUCCCAAACUCCCACUCCAUCCCUCCCCCAAUCCUCUCCCCCUUGGCAACCACAAGUCUGUUCUCUAUGUACUCAUGGAAUAAUUUGACUUUGUCAGUAUGGGUGGUCCCAUGCUGGGCACUGAGAACAAGAAGGUGAAUAGCACUUGGUUUUUGCUUUUGAAAAAUUUACUGAAGAGUAGGGAUAAUUAAUGUGAAAAGAAAAGAAAUCAAUAUGAUAUGACAAGCUUCAUAAAGGUAGGUAAGCAAAUAACUGUGAGAUACAAAGAUGCUACUGUCUUUUUCUUUUUAAAAAGAACUCAGAGUCUAACAUAUUAACAUAAUCUGCAUAAUUAUGUUUAAAGAACAUACAAUCAUCCAUAAUGUAAUAUACUGCAGUUGGCCAGGCUGUUCUCUAAUGGGAACAGAAGUGUUGGGUACAUGGGAGCUCUUCCCACUUUUCAGGGAAGAAGACAUUUCCACAAGUUUCCUUGUGGUCAGCAGGCAAGAGCAGGUCAAGGAGGUUGGACGACUUCCUCUGCAGGCGGAAGAGCGCUCCAGCCUCCCAGCUCUGCAAUUGCAGACCAUGCAUUUGCUGUUCCGAGCCCAUCAGUUGCAAAUCAGUUCUCCUAAAAGGAGACGUAUGGGAUGGCCCGAGCUCAGUUUCAUGAACGAAGAGGUCAAUCAGAUUCUCACCUAAGAGCUCAACUAAUUUGUCUCAUUUCUGACUUACAGCCUCCCCAAGCCUCCUCUCGGAAGUACCACCUAUCACACCAAUUUUCAUAAUUGCAGGACUCACCGUGCCCUUCUCCUCACUGAGAACCGUGCCCGUCCUUUCUGACCAGGAUGCUCAGCCUGUCUCUGCUGCCCACUCAGCCACGCGGCCCAGCUGACUCCCGCUCGUCCUUCACGUUGUGGCUGAAAUUUCAGAUCCUGCAGGGUGCGGUUUCUGGACCCGCAGGCUCUGGUGCCCCUGCCCGCACUUCUGUGAAGCACUGAACACUUCUGUCACUUUUGGUGUCGUCUGGUGGGAUCGUUCCCUUCCACGUCUGCCUCUACUCCAGGGUCCUGAACUAUGGAUUACAGGCCUCAGCGUGCUCUUUGACUCCUCUUGACCAUUAUGGCUUCUACCAACUGCUCUGUUCAGAUCUUCAAGACCUGCAAGACGGCUCCCCAGAAUCCUGACUCUGAACUUGGUCUCACCAUCUGUUUUCUGCAGCUUCUCUCAAGCUCAGAGGACUCCUGUGCCAGCCUCAAGUCACCCAGGUUCCGACCCUGGGACAUCUUCUUCCCUGCAAAGGUGUCGCCUUGAGCCUGAGAUCACUCACCCUUGGGAAAGCCGACUGCCAUGUCCUGAGGCAACCUUGCUGAGAGGUCCAUGUGGCAAAGGACUGAGGCCUGCCAAAAACCACAUGAAUGAACUUAAAAGAAGAUUCCCACCUCACUCCAGGUCAGGCAUUCAGAUGAGACCACAGCCUCAGCCAAUAGCUUGACGCAGCCUCAUGAGAGACUUUGAGCCAGUGUUGCCUAGGAGCUGGUGAGCCUGGAACCUUAUUUAGGAAGAGGAAAUGAAACUGAAAAGACACAGUAAGAUUCCUCUUUUUCUUGGAAGCAAGGCACGAUAUGAAUAAUUCUCAUGCUGUCCAAUUAACUGCCUGAAGUACAAAUAGAAAAAAAAAUACACACUUGGUUAUUUGGAAGAAAUUGAAGAAAAAGCGAAGAAUGGGAUGGUAGUU